rnacentral:ncRNA from 2 species
CCUUGCCCCGCGUUUGUAGGUGCUGUUGUGACGCAAUCAUCGUCGUUACAACAGUGAAACGGGAAGCCGGUUAAAGUCCGGCACUGCCCCCGCAACGGUAAGUGAGUGAUUGGCGAAGAGAGAUGCCACUGUGCACAAGCAUGGGAAGGCUUACGCUGGUCAGUAUUACAACUCACAAGUCCGGAGACCGGCCUGCAAACACACCGAACG